CCUGACUGCUAUCGGAUUGAUACUAAGCCAUGCGAGUCAUUGUAGCAAUACAAGGCAUACGGCUCAGUAACGCGUAGUCAACCUAACCUAUGGACGGGAAUAACCUCGGGAAACUGAGAAUAAUGCCCGAUAGAACACUAUACCUGGAAUGGUUUGUGUUCCAAAUGAUUUAUCGCCAUAGGAUGGGGCUGCGGCCUAUCAGUUUGUUGGUGAGGUAAUGGCCCACCAAGACUAUUACAGGUACGGGCUCUGAGAGGAGUAGCCCGGAGAUGGGUACUGAGACACGGACCCAGGCCCUAUGGGGCGCAGCAGGCGAGAAAACUUUGCAAUGUGCGAAAGCACGACAAGGUUAAUCCGAGUGAUUUGUGCUAAACGAAUCUUUUGUUAGUCCUAGAAACACUAACGAAUAAGGGGUGGGCAAGUUCUGGUGUCAGCCGCCGCGGUAAAACCAGCACCUCAAGUGGUCAGGAUGAUUAUUGGGCCUAAAGCAUCCGUAGCCGGCUCUGUAAGUUUUCGGUUAAAUCUGUACGCUUAACGUACAGGCUGCCGGGAAUACUGCAGAGCUAGGGAGUGGGAGAGGUAGACGGUACUCGGUAGGAAGUGGUAAAAUGCUUUGAUCUAUCGAUGACCACCUGUGGCGAAGGCGGUCUACCAGAACACGUCCGACGGUGAGGGAUGAAAGCUGGGGGAGCAAACCGGAUUAGAUACCCGGGUAGUCCCAGCUGUAAACUAUGCAAACUCAGUGAUGCAUUGGCUUGUGGCCAAUGCAGUGCUGCAGGGAAGCCGUUAAGUUUGCCGCCUGGGAAGUACGUACGCAAGUAUGAAACUUAAAGGAAUUGGCGGGGGAGCACCACAAGGGGUGAAGCCUGCGGUUC
rnacentral:rRNA from 1 species